GGUAUUGUUUGAUUUAAAAUACUACAUCUGUUGUAGCUGUAGGUAUUGUUUGAUUUAAAAUACUACAUCUGUUGUAGCUGUAGGUGUUGUUUGAUUUAAAAUACUACAUCUGUUGUAGCUGUAUGUAUUGUUUGAUUUAAAAUACUACAUCUGUUGUAGCUGUAGGUAUUAUUUGACUU